rnacentral:rRNA from 1 species
AUUGAACGCUGGCGGCAGGCUUAACACAUGCAAGUCGAGCGAGCGGCGGACGGGUGAGUAAUGUCUGGGAAACCGCCUGAUGGAGGGGGAUAACUACUGGAAACUGUAGCUAAUACCGCAUACCAUCAGAUGUGCCCAGAUGGGUUUAGCGAGUAGGUGGGGUAAUGGCUCACCUAGGCGACGACCCCUAGCUGGUCUGAGAGGAUGACCAGCCACACUGGAACUGGGACAGGGACCAGACUCCUACGGUAGGCAGCAGUGGGGAAUAUUGCACAAUGGGCGCAAGCCUGAAUCAGGCAUGCCGCGUGUGUGAAGAAGGCCUGCGGGUUGUAAAGCACGUUCAGCAGGGAGGCGUUACUGGCAGAAGAAGCACCGGCUAACUCCGUGCCAGCAGCCGCGGUAAUAC